CUGGCUCAGGACGAACGCUGGCGGCGUGCCUAAUACAUGCAAGUCGAACGCGUUUCCGUUAUUGAUUUUAGAUGCUUGCAUUUAAAUGAUUUAACACGAAACGAGUGGCGAACUGGUGAGUAACACGUGGGUAACCUGCCCUUGAAGUAGGGGAUAACACUUGGAAACAGGUGCUAAUACCGUAUAACAACCAAAACCACAUGGUUUUGGUUUAAAAGAUGGCUUCGGCUAUCACUUUAGGAUGGACCCGCGGCGUAUUAGCUUGUUGGUAAGGUAAUGGCCUACCAAGGCAAUGAUACGUAGCCGACCUGAGAGGGUAAUCGGCCACAUUGGGACUGAGACACGGCCCAAACUCCUACGGGAGGCAGCAGUAGGGAAUCUUCCACAAUGGACGAAAGUCUGAUGGAGCAACGCCGCGUGAGUGAUGAAGGGUUUCGGCUCGUAAAACUCUGUUGUUGGAGAAGAACAGGUGUCAGAGUAACUGUUGACAUCUUGACGGUAUCCAACCAGAAAGCCACGGCUAACUACGUGCCAGCAGCCGCGGUAAUACGUAGGUGGCAAGCGUUGUCCGGAUUUAUUGGGCGUAAAGCGAGCGCAGGCGGUUUCUUAGGUCUGAUGUGAAAGCCUUCGGCUUAACCGGAGAAGUGCAUCGGAAACCAGGAGACUUGAGUGCAGAAGAGGACAGUGGAACUCCAUGUGUAGCGGUGAAAUGCGUAGAUAUAUGGAAGAACACCAGUGGCGAAGGCGGCUGUCUGGUCUGUAACUGACGCUGAGGCUCGAAAGCAUGGGUAGCGAAACAGGAUUAGAUACCC
rnacentral:rRNA from 1 species